AAAAGACUUAGUCCUAACCUUACCAUUAGUUCUUACCUGGUAUAUACAUGCAAGUAUCUGCGCCCCAGUGUAAAUGCCCUCUGUCCCUACCUCUAUGGAAGAGGAGCUGGCAUCAGGCACGCCCACGAUGCAGCCCAAGACGCCUUGCUUAGCCACGCCCCCACGGGUACUCAGCAGUAAUUAACAUUAAGCAAUAAGUGUAAGCUUGACUUAGCCAUGGUAACACAGGGUUGGUAAAUCUUGUGCCAGCCACCGCGGUCACACAAGAGACCCAAAUUAAUCGUACGCGGCGUAAAGAGUGGACCCAUGAUUAUCAAAACAAUUAAGGCCAAAACGCGACUAGGCUGUCAUAAGCUUAAGACGCAUUUAAAGCCACCCUAAAAAUGACCUUAAACACAUGAUAAAUUAAACUCCACGAAAGCCAGGGCACAAACUGGGAUUAGAUACCCCACUAUGCCUGGCCCUAAAUCUUGAUGCUUACCCUACCAAAGCAUCCGCCCGAGAACUACGAGCACAAACGCUUAAAACUCUAAGGACUUGGCGGUGCCCCAAACCCACCUAGAGGAGCCUGUCCUAUAAUCGACAACCCACGAUACACCCGACCACUUCUUGCCAAAAACAGCCUACAUACCGCCGUCGUCAGCCCACCUUCACUGAGAGAACAAUAGUGAGCCUAAUCGCCCUCACCCCGCCAACAAGACAGGUCAAGGUAUAGCCUAUGAAGUGGAAGAGAUGGGCUACAUUUUCUACAAUAGAAAACUCCUAUAACGGAAGGGGGUAUGAAACUCACCCCCUAAAGGCGGAUUUAGCAGUAAAGCAGGACAAUAAAGCCCUCUUUAAACCGGCUCUGAGGCACGUACAUACCGCCCGUCACCCUCCUCAUAAGCUCUAAACUCCUAUUAAUAAUAUGCUUACUUGCUAAAGAUGAGGUAAGUCGUAACAAGGUAAGUGUACCGGAAGGUGCACUUAGAACACC
rnacentral:ncRNA from 1 species